UCGAGCAGGGUCGAAAGACGGACUUAGUGAUCCGGUGGUUCCGCAUGGAAGGGCCAUCGCUCAACGGAUAAAAGCUACCCCGGGGAUAACAGGCUUAUCUCCCCCAAGAGUUCACAUCGACGGGGAGGUUUGGCACCUCGAUGUCGGCUCAUCGCAUCCUGGGGCUGUAGUCGGUCCCAAGGGUUGGGCUGUUCGCCCAUUAAAGCGGUACGCGAGCUGGGUUCAGAACGUCGUGAGACAGUUCGGUCCCUAUCCGUCGUGGGCGUAGGAAAUUUGAGAGGAGCUGUCCUUAGUACGAGAGGACCGGGAUGGACAUACCUCUGGUGUACCAGUUGUCGUGCCAACGGCAUAGCUGGGUAGCUAUGUGUGGACGGGAUAAGUGCUGAAAGCAUCUAAGCAUGAAGCCCCCCUCAAGAUGAGAUUUCCCAACUUCGGUUAUAAGAUCCCUCAAAGAUGAUGAGGUUAAUAGGUUCGAGGUGGAAGCAUGGUGACAUGUGGAGCUGACGAAUACUAA
rnacentral:rRNA from 1 species